rnacentral:rRNA from 1 species
UUAACCUUUUUGGAGAGAGCCGUCGAAGGUGGGAUUGGUGAUUGGGACUAAGUCGUAACAAGGUAGCCGUACCGGAAGGUGCGGCUGGAUCACCUCCUUUCU